GCCGGAGUGGCGGAAUAGGAAGACGCGGCGGACUCAAAAUCCGCUUCCGUUAAAGCGGAGUGAGGGUUCGAGUCCCUCCUCCGGCA
rnacentral:tRNA from 1 species